rnacentral:hammerhead_ribozyme from 1 species
GUCCAACUGACGAGUCCCAAAUAGAAAGAAACACACGUCUUACUGGAU